ensembl:lncRNA
AACAAAUCAACAAAGCCCAGAUGCUCUAAUUCCCCUCAACUGAGAUUGGUGAAGAGAUUCUGAGCUGAUGGAUCUGCAGGCUCUGUUCCAUCCAGCAAUCCAUCACUGCCAAAUGUCUUCAAUUUAAAGGCACUUAUUGCUGUUUGGAGAGUGGACAAAUACUACUUAGAGCGUUAUUUUGCAUGCUGCCGCACCAUAUAAUUCACUAUUGACCUCCACAUGUGCGCAGCAUCUCCAAAACUCGCCGAUCCGUCGCCCGUCCCUGAACGCCUCGCACCCCGCAUCGCUCUCCGGUCACCCCGCGCGCUCUGCCCGCUGGGUGAUGGACUGUGGCACUUUAUUACCCCGAGGGGCGUGUUCGGCUCAUCUCAGUGUGCUCAAUCAAUGUAAAUCUGUCCGCCGGCGGAAUUUAUGUCCUCCGCGAUGAAGCGCUGCGCUUUACCGCGCCGCGUUAAUUAGACGCGGCUUCGAUGGAGUCAACGACCCCCCCUCUCCCCCCCCCCCCACACACACAUACAUACACAGCCUCAUCCUCGCCUCCCUCGCUGCCAAGAAUAACAAGUGAGACACAAGUCACACUAUUUGUCUAGUCCUCCAGGGUCGACUUAUUUUUAUCUCCAGCCGGGCGUCGGAUAAAAUCUCUUUAUAGGUAAUUUUAUAUCUCACCUGUGUGAAUUCAAUACUUGAUAAAUAGUACUAUUUUAUCAUUGUCAAAAAAACUCUCGGCUGAAGUUAGAAUCAUUAUACAAUGCAUGCCAGUUAAUAAGUAAAUCCAAUUUUAUUGGAUUGAGGUUGAUGAAUUAUUGUUUCGUAUUAUUAUCGUCCACGUUGGAUGAAUAAAUCUCCAUCCUCGUGUGAGUUCAUCCCACCCACCACAGGGCUGUGCCGGUGUACUUCUCUUAACAAGAAGCCGGCUGACCGGCGGCCUUCGCUGAGAACCAGUUGCCAUGGCGACACCUCCUCCCUGCCCGGCGGACGCCUGGGUAUCCCAUUGUACAAAUGUGUGUGUGUGGUGGCGAUAGUUUGAGUCCAAAGUAACAAUAAAAUGGCCAUGGCUGAUUUCCAAGUGCUAUAUUUUGUA